UACGUAGGGUGCGAGCGUUGUCCGGAAUUAUUGGGCGGAAAGAGCUCGUAGGCGGUUUGUCGCGUCGGCCGUGAAAACUUGGGGCUUAACUCCAAGCUUGCGGUCGAUACGGGCAGACUUGAGUUCGGCAGGGGAGACUGGAAUUCCUGGUGUAGCGGUGAAAUGCGCAGAUAUCAGGAGGAACACCGAUGGCGAAGGCAGGUCUCUGGGCCAUAACUGACGCUGAGAAGCGAAAGCAUGGGGAGCGAACAGG
rnacentral:rRNA from 1 species